GGGGGGUUGAGGGGAGGGGGGAAGACGAAGCUUGAAAGACUUGGUAAUGGCGACGGGUUUGUCGGAGCACCAUAACAUGGUGUGGGAAGUGAAGACAAAUCAGAUGCCUAAUGCAGUACAGAAACUCCUGCUGGUGAUGGACAAGCGAGCUUCAGGAAUGAAUGACUCACUGGAGUUGCUGCAGUGUAAUGAAAACUUGCCAUCCUCACCUGGAUACAACUCCUGUGAUGAGCACAUGGAGCUUGAUGACCUUCCUGAACUUCAGGCUGUUCAGAGUGAUCCUACUCAAUCUGCCAUAUACCAGCUAAGUUCAGAUGUUUCACAUCAAGAGUAUCCAAGACCAUCUUGGAACCAAAAUACCUCAGACAUAUCAGAAAAUACUUAUGGUGAAAAUGAGGUGGAUUGGCUAACAGAAUUAGCAAAUAUUGCCACCAGCCCACAGAGUCCACUUAUGCAGUGCUCGUUCUACAACAGAUCAUCUCCUGUACACAUCAUAGCUACUAGCAAAAGUUUACAUUCCUAUGCACGCCCUCCACCUGUGUCCUCUUCUAAGAGCGAGCCAGCCUUCCCUCAUCAUCACUGGAAGGAGGAAACACCAGUCAGACACGAAAGGGCAAAUAGUGAGUCAGAAUCUGGCAUUUUCUGCAUGUCCUCCCUCUCCGAUGAUGAUGAUUUGGGCUGGUGCAAUUCCUGGCCUUCAACUGCUUGGCACUGUUUUCUGAAAGGCACACGACUGUGCUUUCAUAAGGAAAGCAAAAAGGAAUGGCAGGAUGUUGAAGAUUUUGCUAGAACCGAAAGCUGUGAUAAUGAGGAAGACCUCCAAGUGGGCACUCACAAGGGCUAUGGUUCUGAUGGUCUAAAGUUGUUAUCACAUGAAGAAAGUGUAUCAUUUGGCGAGUCUGUACUGAAGUUGACUUUUGAUCCCGGUACAGAGGAAGACGGCUUACUUACUGUAGAGUGUAAGCUGGACCACCCUUUCUAUGUUAAGAAUAAAGGUUGGUCAUCAUUUUAUCCAAGCUUGACUGUGGUACAGCAUGGCAUCCCAUGUUGUGAAAUUCAUAUUGGUGAUGUAUGUCUACCUCCUGGACACCCCGAUGCCAUUAAUUUUGAUGAUUCAGGUGUUUUUGAUACAUUUAAAAGCUAUGACUUCACACCUAUGGAUUCUUCUGCAGUCUAUGUGUUAAGUAGUAUGGCUCGUCAGCGUCGUGCAUCUUUGUCUUGUGGAGGGCCUGGAGGUCAAGACUUUGCAAGAUCUGGACUCAGUAAAAACUGUGGCUCACCAGGAUCAUCACAGCUCUCUUCCAAUUCCUUGUAUGCUAAAGCUGUCAAAACCCACAGCUCAGGGACUGUGAGCGCCACUUCUCCUAACAAGUGCAAAAGACCAAUGAAUGCCUUCAUGCUUUUUGCCAAAAAAUAUAGAGUUGAAUAUACUCAGAUGUAUCCAGGGAAAGAUAACAGAGCCAUAAGCGUGAUCCUCGGCGACAGGUGGAAGAAAAUGAAGAAUGAAGAGAGAAGGAUGUAUACGUUAGAAGCAAAGGCUUUGGCUGAAGAACAAAAACGCCUAAAUCCUGACUGUUGGAAAAGGAAAAGAACCAAUUCAGUAGGUUUCAACAACUAGUUGCUCAAAAAGAUCUUGACUUCUCCCCAUAACUGAACUGGCGUGUGGAACAAUGCUUAUAUAACCUUGAAAAGGGCUCACAGCAACAUUAAGCCAGGAUGCGUAUGUUCUUAAGUCUGUAGUUGCAUAAACACUGUUGACGGAGGGACUUAAGAAGAUCGAGGUGUCACCAUUUGUCCUGAAUUCGUGUGACCAUAAGAUACUGAUAGCAUUGAGUCUUGAAAUGAUUUAAUAAUAUGAGUGAGGAUUUGCUUUUUCCAUUAGAGCAUUAAGUAAGCUAAAACUAUCAACAUUGUAAACCAAAUUGCCUUAUUUUUCUUCCAAACUUCAUAUAUGUCUAUCAGGUAAUAUAGGCUUGAAAAUUGAUAUCCUGUGGUGCUAAAGUACAGUAGAAAGAGAGGAGAGUGUAUACAUGUUUUAUUUUAAAUUGUACAAAAGGGGAAUUUAAAAAUAUGUAACUGCUGUUUAUACAUUGGCUCCUUACUGCUUAUUAAUCUGUAUUGUACACAUAGUGGAAUGAAACCGAGCCGGGAGCUGGCCUUUCCGUGAGCGACCACCGCACUGGCCCAGCAUCUGUGCCAAACCCGGGAGCUCCUGAACACGUGGCCGGUGUCGGCGUCCCAGUGUGCGCGUGCCGCCUGCCACAGGGUCCCCCGGGCACGCCGAGCCUGGCACCGGGCGGUAGCACCCAUGCAGGACUUGCGGCGGAGGCCUCGCCCGGGCCCAGGUCAAGUUAGUUAAUAGCAUUGGGAUAUAGUCACUGUCAUGGUGCUAUUAACAGUUGACACCAUUGUAUUUUUUAACUUCGUGUUCUGUAUCUCCUCAGCCACAUAUCUUAAAUAUCUUGUUUGUCAUCCUAUGUGUAUGGUGGGGGCAGACUUUGCACUUCCUGCAGUGCAACACGUGCACUUUACUUCUCCAGCUGUCUGAGGUGAGAGCACACACGUUGGCAAGACAGCUGCUUCUGCUCUGAGCUACAAUCAUGGCUUUUCAUGUUACUUACCAAGUGGUGUUUCUGGUAGGAAUCACAGCUGUAAAAUUGAUUUCAGUUCAUUACACUUCUUCAUGAUGUUGCCCCUAAAUUUUGCACACUAUAUUCUUGUAUAUUAUUUCAAAUAAAAUGAAAAAAAAAAUUGUU